rnacentral:rRNA from 1 species
GAUGAACGCUGGCGGCGUGCCUAAUACAUGCAAGUCGAGCGAACGGACGAGAAGCUUGCUUCUCUGAUGUUAGCGGCGGACGGGUGAGUAACACGUGGAUAACCUACCUAUAAGACUGGGAUAACUUCGGGAAACCGGAGCUAAUACCGGAUAAUAUUUUGAACCGCAUGGUUCAAAAGUGAAAGACGGUCUUGCUGUCACUUAUAGAUGGAUCCGCGCUGCAUUAGCUAGUUGGUAAGGUAACGGCUUACCAAGACAACGAUGCAUAGCCGACCUGAGAGGGUGAUCGGCCACACGGGAACUGAGACACGGUCCAGACUCCUACGGGAGGCAGCAGUAGGGAAUCUUCCGCAAUGGGCGAAAGCCUGACGGAGCAACGCCGCGUGAGUGAUGAAGGUCUUCGGAUCGUAAAACUCUGUUAUUAGGGAAGAACAUAUGUGUAAGUAACUGUGCACAUCUUGACGGUACCUAAUCAGAAAGCCACGGCUAACUACGUG